rnacentral:rRNA from 1 species
GACGUAGGGUCCAAGCGUUGUCCGGAUUUACUGGGCGUAAAGAGCGCGUAGGCGGCUCGUUAAGUGUGAAGUGAAAUCUCUAGGGCUCAACCCAGAAACUGCUUUACAUACUGGCGAGCUGGAGUGAUGAAGAGGUUUGUGGAAUUCCUGGUGUAGCGGUGAAAUGCGUUGAUAUCAGGAGGAACACCCAUGGCGAAGGCAGCAAACUGGUCAUCAACUGACGCUGAGGCGCGAAAAGCGUGGGUAGCAAACAGG